GAAAAAGUAAUGAUAAGGACAUGGGUAUUUCUUUACGGUUUCCAGAGAGGGAAGGAGGGUGAAAACUUCCCAGCACGAGAGGAAUGCUUACCACCUUUGAACUCCAGCCGUGAAAAUGGAAUUGAGUAAUGGCUGGCGGCCACUGCCGUUAUCAGAUUAAAGUCAUUUUUUCGAACGGGCCAAUUUGCCUGUUUAAAUGAAAAAUUGGGUGGAACCACGUGUGUAACAGCUCGUCCCUUUU
rnacentral:ncRNA from 2 species